CGACGGCCGCGUAGGGGGAUGUAAGGCUUCUACCGGUAGUCGGUAAAACCCCUUUACGACCCGGACCGAAUGAACCCGCAAGGGUUGACGGUACGGGUAUAAGAAGCCCCGGCUAACUACGUGC
rnacentral:rRNA from 1 species